GCGUUCGUAGUCCAACAAUUAGGAUAAUUGCCUUCCAAACAAUAGACCAGGGUUCGAGUCCUGACAAACGCA
rfam:Ipomoea nil DNA, scaffold: scaffold1769, cultivar: Tokyo-kokei standard.